AAAAAAUUAGAGUGUUCAAAGCAGGCAGAUUCAAUUUUCUGCCACCGAAUACAUUAGCAUGGGAUAAUGGAAUAGGACCCUGUCCUCCUAUUUUCAGUUGGUUUUGGCAGCGCGAGGACUAGGGUAAUGAUUAAUAGGGAUAGUUGGGGGCAUUAAUAUUUAAUUGUCAGAGGUGAAAUUCUUGGAUUUAUGAAAGAUUAACUUCUGCGAAAGCAUCUGCCAAGGAUGUUUUCAUUAAUCAAGAACGAAAGUUAGGGGAUCGAAGACGAUCAGAUACCGUCGUAGUCUUAACCAUAAACGAUGCCGACCAGCGAUUAGGAGACGUUGAAUACAAAACACCACCAUCGGCGCGGUCGUCCUUGGCGCGUUCGUGUUCACGCACGAGCGCGCGAGGGCGGUUUAGCCCGGUGGCACCGGUGAAUGACUCC
rnacentral:rRNA from 1 species